rnacentral:SRP_RNA from 1 species
GCCGGGCGCGGUAGCUCACGCCUGUAAUCCCAGCAUUUUGGGAGGCUGAGGCGGGUGGAUCACCUGAGGUCAGGAGUUCGAGACCAGCCUGGCCAACAUGGUGAAACCCUGUCUCUA